CUCUCUGCACCGCUAUCCUGCCAUUGUUACAGGCUUUAGAUGCAUGCAUCUGGACACCACAGGUUCACUCUCGCUGAGUAAUUUCUAACCUCUUUUCAAGUCUGUCGUAGUGGUUCUUGAAAGUGAUCGCCCAUUCGGUGAUUGUCUGACACGCCCUAUAUCACACCUAAAACCAUCUUGUAUCUGAUCUGACACUUGCACUGUGAUGUGUUGUCUUGCUCAAAUAGAUUCGAUAACUUCUACUGAUCAUGAAGGCUUCGUGAAAUUCCUUAGUCUAAUUCCUCCUACAGGAAAUUCUUCUUCUUCCUCCUCCUGUUUUUUGUCUAGUGCCAUUUAUUGACAUCCAUUUGCUUACAAGCACACCCAGCGAUCCCAGAACAUCUCCUCAGCUGUUUCCAGCUAACAUGUUCUUGUCACUGCCAGGCAUCGGAAAACUAGAUAUAAUAAUUGGCGAAGUAGGACGAGUUGGCUUAAAAAUGACAGGUAAACCCUUGAAAUAGCUGAUAAAAUUUUCGGAAUCUCUAGUUCAGUAACAGGAUUAUUUAACUCGAGUUAGUGAGCAGCAUUUGAUCCCGCAACAAAACUCCAACGGAUACCAAGUGUUUUGGUAGAAUCCUUCUAUUACCGCAGUAUAAAGAAGACAAGUAGAGGCUUCGGAUCCAAGACAAGAAAAAUACAAAAAGCAACUGAAUAUUUUUUUCUAGGUUGAAUUAUCUAAUAAUUGUAGUUUGAAAAGAUGACUGCAGUUUGCUUUUCAACAGCGCUGUUGUCAAUUUGUCAGUGCGGAUCCAAUAUAUAUGCUGCAGCCUUGUCAGGAAAGAGUGAGAGCCUGUUUAGGAGAGCCUGUCUGCUAAACUGCCUCUUCAAUUAUAUUGUUAUUGUUUAGGUUUAUUGCUCGCUGGUGAAAUAAAAAAUCAUUGCCAUUAAAAAGCUAA